rnacentral:rRNA from 1 species
GACGAACGCUGGCGGCGUGCUUAACACAUGCAAGUCGAACGGAAAGGCCCUGCUUUUGUGGGGUGCUCGAGUGGCGAACGGGUGAGUAACACGUGAGUAACCUGCCCUUGACUUUGGGAUAACUUCAGGAAACUGGGGCUAAUACCGGCUAGGAGCUCCUGCUGCAUGGUGGGGGUUGGAAAGUUUCGGCGGUUGGGGAUGGACUCGCGGCUUAUCAGCUUGUUGGUGGGGUAGUGGCUUACCAAGGCUUUGACGGGUAGCCGGCCUGAGAGGGUGACCGGCCACAUUGGGACUGAGAUACGGCCCAGACUCCUACGGGAGGCAGCAGUGGGGAAUAUUGCACACUGGGCUGCAGCCUGAUGCAGCAACGCCGCGUGCGGGAUGACGGCCUUCGGGUUGUAGACCGCUUUCGCCUGUGACGAAGCGUGAGUGACGGUAAUGGGUAAAGAAGCACCGGCUAACUCCGUG